ACGUAUGGGGUAAGCGUUGUUCGGAAUUAUUGGGCGUAAAGGGCGUCUAGGCGGGGGAUUAAGUUAGAUGUGAAAGCUAUGGGCUCAACCCAUAAAUUGCAUCUAAGACUGGUUCUCUUGAGUUCGGGAGAGGAGAGCGGAAUUCCAGGUAUAGCGGUUAAAUGCGUAGAUAUCUGGAAUAACGCCAGUGGCGAUGGGGGCUCUCUGGGAUUGAUCUGACGCUGGAGCGCUAAAGCGUUGUGAAUUAACAG
rnacentral:rRNA from 1 species